CAAUAUGAAGGUCAGGCUGAAGACCUUACCCGAUUAGCUGAGAGGUGGUGCAUGGCCGUCGUCAGUUCGUACUGUGAAGCAUCCUGUUAAGUCAGGCAACGAGCGAGACCCACGUCCACAGUUGCCAGCAUACCCUCCGGGGUGACGGGUACACUGUGGAGACCGCCGCUACUAAAGCGGAGGAAGGAGUGGGCAACGGUAGGUCAGUAUGCCCCGAAUCUCCCGGGCUACACGCGGGCUACAAUGGUUGGUACAAUGGGCAUCUACCCCGAAAGGGGAAGGAAAUCUCUUAAAGCCAAUCGUAGUUCGGAUUGAGGGCUGCAACUCGCCCUCAUGAAGCUGGAAUCCGUAGUAAUCGCGUUUCAACAGAACGCGGUGAAUACGUCCCUGCUCCUU
rnacentral:rRNA from 1 species